UCCUCCUUACAGAGGCAGUUUGAGCCGAGUGCCCGCCAGUUUAAGAAUAAACCGCGCUGGUAACAGCUCAUGAGGGUUGCGCUCGUUGCGGGACUUAACCCAACAUUUCACAACACGAGCUGACGACAGCCAUGCACCACCUGUGCACCACCCUCGAAGGCCGGUGAUUUUCACCACCCUGCAGGUGCAUGUCAAGCCCUGGUAAGGUUCUUCGCGUUGCAUCGAAUUAAGCCACAUGCUCCACCGCUUGUGCGGGCCCCCGCCAAUUCCUUUGAGUUUCAACCUUGCGGCCGUAGUCCCCAGGCGGUUCACUUAAUGCGUUAGCUGCGGCACCGAAGUAUCCUCCGACACCUAGUGAACAUCGUUUAAGGCCAAGACUAC
rnacentral:misc_RNA from 1 species